rnacentral:lncRNA from 1 species
CCAGUAAUAACAUUUUAACCCUUCUUGUGGAAACCUUCAAACGUGUUUCUAGAAGACAUAUCUUAUUUCGUUGUCUGAUAAUGAUUGCAUCUUUGUCAUCGGCAACGUCUUCAUUGUACCAUUUAAAAAAAUUACAGCCUAGAACAAUGCCACUUGUAAUCUGUUUUGAGAAAAGAAUAAAAUUCAACAAUGAAAAAAUUUAAAUCACC